rnacentral:rRNA from 1 species
CCUANGGGAGGCUGCAGUCGGGAAUAUUGGACAAUGCCCUAACGGGUGAUCCAGCGACACCGCGUGGAGGAUGAAGGCCUUAGGGUCGUAAACUCCUGUCAGGUGGGACGAAGUUUCGGCGCAAGCCGGAAUUGACGGUACCACCGGAGGAAGUCCCGGCUAAUUCCGUGCCAGCAGCCGCGGUAAGACGGAAGGGGCAAGCGUUGUCCGGAUUGACUGGGUGUAAAGGGCGUGUAGGUGGUUUGACGGGUCCAGCAUUAAAUACCCCGGCCUAACCGGGGAAAUGUGUUGGAAACUAUCAAGACUUGAGUCUGAAAAAGGAGAGCGGAACUCUUGGUGUAACGGUGAAAUGUGUAGAUAUCAGGAGGAACACCGGUGGCGAAGGCGGCUCUCUAGUUCAAGACUGACACUGAGGCGCGAAAGCCGGGGGAGCAAACAGGAUUAGAUACCCCUNUANUC